rnacentral:rRNA from 1 species
UGGGGAAUAUUGCACAAUGGGCGCAAGCCUGAUGCAGCCAUGCCGCGUGUAUGAAGAAGGCCUUCGGGUUGUAAAGUACUUUCAGCGGGGAGGAAGGGAGUAAAGUUAAUACCUUUGCUCAUUGACGUUACCCGCAGAAGAAGCACCGGCUAACUCCGUGCCAGCAGCCGCGGUAAUACGGAGGGUGCAAGCGUUAAUCGGAAUUACUGGGCGUAAAGCGCACGCAGGCGGUUUGUUAAGUCAGAUGUGAAAUCCCCGGGCUCAACCUGGGAACUGCAUCUGAUACUUGCAAGCUUGAGUCUCGUAGAGGGGGGUAGAAUUCCAGGUGUAGCGGUGAAAUGCGUAGAGAUCUGGAGGAAUACCGGUGGCGAAGGCAGCCCCCUGGACGAAGACUGACGCUCAGGUGCGAAAGCGUGGGGAGCAAACAGG